UACGGAGGGUGCGAGCGUUGUCCGGAAUCAUUGGGCGUAAAGGGCGCGUAGGUGGCCACUUCAAGCGUGCGGUGAAAGUCGGGGGCUCAACCCCUGAUCGGCCGUGCGAACUGGGGGGCUGGAGCACUGUAGAGGCAGGCGGAAUUCCGGGUGUAGCGGUGGAAUGCGUAGAGAUCCGGAAGAACACCGGUGGCGAAGGCGGUGGUCUGGGCCGGAACUGACGCUGAGGAGCGAAAGCGUGGGGAGCAAACAGG
rnacentral:rRNA from 1 species